rnacentral:snoRNA from 1 species
UCAUGCUAUAAAGGUGUGUCUGUGGCUACCUGUCCUUGCACUUGUAAGAAUUGGAGGAAAAGAGUUGUAGAUUUGGAGAAGUCUGUAGGCAGCUUGCUCCCUAUAGGCUCCAGAUCACUUUUCCCACAAGG